GUCUUUAUGGAAUAAAUAUAAAGUUUGGCCUGCUCACUGAAAUUUUAAAAGCCGCAGUAUAUUGACUGUGCGAAGGUAGCAUAAUAAUUUGUCUUUUAAAUGGGGUCUGGAAUGAAAGGUUGGAUGAGAGAAUAACUUUAUUUUGGUGGGGAUUGAAAUUUAUUUUUUAGUGAAAAAUCUAAAAUAAGAUUGUUAGACAAGAAGACCCUAUUAAGUUUGACUGGGAACUUAUUUGAAAUAAUAACAUAAGGAGUAGGGAGGAAGUUUUAUUGGGGCAAUAAAAAUAGAAUAAGUUAAUUGGAAGAAAAUUUUUGGUGCGACCCAGCAUGGGUUGAUUAUUAGAGUAAAUUACUAUAGGGAUAACAGCAUAAUCUUUUUUGAGAGUUCUUAUUAAAAAUAAGGAUUAUGACCUCGAUGUUGAAUUAGAGUAGUAUCUUGUGAAGAAGAAAGGUAGUUAGAGUUUGUUCAACUUUUAGUUUCUACA
rnacentral:rRNA from 1 species